rnacentral:lncRNA from 1 species
UGCAAUAACGCAUGCAAUUAAUAACUACAAUAACAUAGUAUUGUCUCUCGAACUUUCUCUGCUUUGAAGUCGGGCUGUCCUGUUGCCAGUAUGUCUAGAAGGGGAUUAGCUUUUGUUGUUUGCAUUUUUUACACCAACCCGAACAGCUAUUAGCCGUUUUCACACCGAUAUCUCGCCGACACGACAUACAGACAGGAUUUACUCUGAUGGACAGUAUAAGAGGAGGCUGCGGUUUAUAACUGUGCGAGGUCUACUGUUCACAGAACUACUAGUAAAUAAAUCACAAAAUUGUUGAAAUAAGUACUUUUUUAUUUGCAAUUGAUCAAUUCAGUGCUGGUAUUUUCUACUAGGUAAUUUACUUGUAUUUUUCCAUUCAAAUUCAUAUUCAAAUUUUAAUGUAAGAAUGUUUCUUUAAAAAAAAUCCUGAAUUCUAUCACCAUUUUUAUUAGGUAUGUUAAUUCUCCACACUUAAAAUCUUGAUAUUAAAUUGCAAUAAUUGAAGAAUUAUUGAUUUUAGAAUUUGAAAAUUGAAGGACUAGAAUUUAGCUUAUUAUUUAUAAUAAUAUUAUGAAGGAAGGAAUUGACUCAUACUUAUAUGAGAUAGGUAGUGAUAGUCAAAAACAUCAAUGAUUGGUCAACUUUCACAACGUAGAAUGAUAUUUACAAAAAUUGGUUUGCUCAGACAGCCUACGUUUAAAAGCGCUCCAUAAGUUUUAUUUUGUGGCAGUGGCAACACUGCUUCUUUUCGUACCAAAAUGGCUGUGUAACAGUGGCAGUGGUGUAACUGUCAGUCAACAACUCCGAUGGUGAAGUUCGUCGUGUUUCUAAUCUAAUAAUUACUUUGUAGUUUUGUUAACCCGGUUUUUUCCACUAGGAAUUAUUAGUUUCGUGUGUUGAUUUAUUAAUUUGAAGUCGUGAUAUUUUGGUGAAAAUAUGUGUUUGUGAUUGUAUGAGAAUACACGAUUAUGGCGUGAACCAGUGAUACCCUACGUAGAUUCAUUCCAUUACGUCUAUGAAUUUAAACAGUAAUCAAUUAUAAAGUGCAUUCAAAUCUCAUGUGAACUCGGAAUCCCAAAGUUGAAUAAUGGUACCUUAGGAAUAAGAAGGCAACCACAUCGAAUCAAUUAUUGGAAACCUUCAAAGUGGGUAAAUAUAUGAGAACUUGUCAACUCACAACAUUAAGUUAUCCGGUAAGUCAAACGUUUUCAAUUAUUCACUCUUUUGUGAAUUUGUGAACUUCUUUAUCUUGUUUGGAAUUUUUUAUAUGAAUUCUGAUUGGAUAUAAAAGGAAUAAAGUCAGCCAUCUUAUAGUUAUGCCAUCUUAGUUAUAUUAUUGGAUAUAAAAGGAAUCAAGUCAGCCAUCUUAUAGUUAUGCCCCAAUAGUUUAAAGCCAUUUAGGGCCGGUUUCCGAGCUCGGGAUUCAGGUAAGUUCUAGACUUUGAGGCUGUGCAAAGGCUAAAAAUGAACUCUCUACUGGUGAUAUUUUUCAAAGUUUUUCGAUUUGUAUAAUAUCAUGAACUAUCAAAAUGAUGGAGGUUUCACAGGAAAAAAAUUUUUCCUGAUCAUUACUUUUUUAGAUACAAGCGCCUAAAGUUUAAAAUUUUGGGACAGAACUUUUCAAGUUCGGUAAGAGAUAAAUCCAUGAGACUUGGAGGAUAGAUUCUUCAUGGUAUUGUUGAUCUAGUAAAUUAAAAAUUUUCUGAAAAUUUUGAUUUUUAAGAAAGUUAUUCAAUUUACCAAAAAUAACUCAAUAAAUAGUUGUUUGUAUAUCUAGAGUGAAAAGUACGACUUUUUCUCCCUGUGGGAAAAGUUUGAAGCCCGAGGCGAAGCCGAGGGCAACAAUUUUCCUGAGGGAGAAAAAGUAUUUUUCACUCGUGAUGUACACAACAUUUUUCCUCCAUCUACAUUUUUUUAUAGAAACUGCAAAUGAAAUCAUUUUAAUAACUUACGUAUUGGUGAGAAUGUUUCCUAACAACAUAACCUAAAAUCUAAAACCUAAAAACCGGUCGUCUGAUUGGCACUGCCGAUUGCGCUAUCUAUCGGCCAAAGUUGUAACAAUUAUAUCAGCUGGGUGUCUACCAAAAAUGGCUGACUCCAUCACGCGGCUCAGAUUUGAAUUGCAGAUCAAAAAUAUUUGUUGGCUGGUAUUUUGAAUAGAAUAAAAUAUUUUAAAAAUUUUAUAAAUUUUUAUCAUCUACUAAUAUUAAGAAUAUAAUAUCAUACAAACAUUUAUAUUUCAUGAGUUGAUCAAAUUUCUGGUUGUGGUAUUGAAUUCAGUUGACUCAAUGACAGACACCUCUUUAUGCUUUCUCAUCUGAGCUUAGACUUUCUAACCUAUUACAAUGUAAGUUUUUAAAAUAGAGAUGCUUCCCAUGUUAUUUAAAUGGAGUCACUUUUCCUCCCUAGGGAGUUUUUCUGUUUUUUACUACCGAGAGCGAAAAAGUGACACUUUAGUAUCAUGUUUCAGGGAGUAAAGUAAGUACUUUAGACAGUAGGUGGAGGAAAAAGUCAUUUUUGGUCAUUUUGAGAAAAAUUGAAUAACUUUCUCAAAAAUUGAUAUUUUCAGAAAAUUUUUGUUUUAUUAAAUCAACAAUACCAUUAAGAAUCUAUCCUCUAAAUCUCAUGGAUUUGUGUCUUACCGAACUUGAAAUGUUCUGUCCCAAAAAUUUAAACUUUAGGCGCUCGUAUCUCAAAAAUAAUGAUCGGAAAAAAUGUUUUCCUGAGAAACCUCCUUCAUUUUGAUAGCUUCAUGAUAUACAAAUCGAAAACUUUGAAAAAUAUCACCAGUAGAAAGUUCAUUUUUAGCCUUUGCACAGCCUUAAACAGCUGGAGUCAGAAAAUUGGCUUGCCGAAAUGGGGCAUAGUCGCAGUAAAACGACUAACAAUUUUUAAAUUGAAUUUCGAAAAACUUGAAAAUUGAACACAAGAUAAAAUAAUGAGAAAAUAGUGUAAAGUUUGAGCUAUUUUGAAUUAUUUAGGAAUGUUUCAUUUUGUCAAGGGAAAACGUUGCCAAUUAUAGAAAUGAGAAAAUAAAGAUUUAUUUUGCUGCAACUUUUUACUGCUACUAUGCCCUGUUUCGGAAAGCCAAUUUUCUGACUCCAGUUGUUUAAAGUCUAGAACUUAUCUAAAUCCCGAGCUUGGAAACCGGCCCUUUAACCAUCCGUUUCUGUUCAGCAUACCGAUUAGUGGUUUAAACGGCCGUCAAGUUUAAACACGUUUACUCUAGACGCAGUUCAAACCUAGCAUUUGCAUACGGACCUAAAUAUGGAAUCAGCAUACAGAUCCACGGUUUUAGAGUGUAAACCAUUGAUGGGUCAAACGCAGUUCAAAUCAAACAUCUGCAUACCGGCCCAAGAAACAGAUAUAAGCAUAACGUCAUUUGAUAGAAAGCGUACGGCGUGUGUUUGUGGCAAAGCCGUUACACAGCUUUAGACUAUUUUGGUAUUUGAGACUAUCAGCUUGGAUUUGAUUUUUUUAAUUAAUUGACGAAGCGAAGUGAGGUCUAAGAUUCAAGUCGACGGUUUGGCAUUUCUCUUAAUGUUUAAAUGUUGCGCAUUUACGGCGAAACGCGGUAAUAGAUUUUCAUGAAAUUUGACAGGUAUGCUACUUUUUUAAUUGCGCGUCGACGUAUAUACAAGGUUUUUGGAAAUUUUGCAUUUCAAGGAUAAUAUAAAAGGAAAAAGGAGCCUCCUUCAUACGCCAAUAUUAGAGUAAAAAUCAGACUAUAGAAUUAUUCAUUGACCGAGCGAAGUGAGGUCUAAGAUUCAAGUCGACGGUUUGGCAUUUCUCUUAAUGUUUGAAUGUUUAUAUGUUGCGCAUUUACGGCGAAACGCGGUAAUAGAUUUUCAUGAAAUUUGACAGGUAUGCUACUUUUUUAAUUGCGCGUCGACGUAUAUUCAAGGUUAUUGGAAAUUUUGCAUUACAAGGAUAAUAUAAAAGGAAAAGGAGCCUCCUUCAUACGCCAAUAUUAGAGUAAAUCAACAGAAAAUAUUUUGAUCUAGUUUAGGUAAACCUGAGCUUGCUAUGCUAUACACAUCUAAAAAUCUGCGACUAUUGGAUAUAUUUUCUACUUGUAUAAAAAUUGAAAGUAACUGUGUUUCAUUUUCAUGAAACUUUAAUGCAUAAUUUCUGUAUUUGGAUCAUAGAAACCGUCACUAGGUGACAUGAUGCAUCUUAUAUGCUACACUAUUAAAACUUUGUAUUAUCAAUUUUGUAAAUGCAGUAUUUUUGUAAAGACUUGCCUAUCAAUUUUACUUGUAAAAGAUGCUUCUUAUCCAGCUAUCAUUCUAUGAGAUUAUUUAAUUUCUGUAUCUACAAAAUAUUAUAGAAAGUCACUAGGUGACAUGCAUCUUCUGUACUACACUAUUAGAACUUUGUGUUGUUAAUUUUGUAAAGGCAGUAUUUUUGUAAUGACUUGCCUAUCAAUUUUACUUGUUAAAGAUGCUUCUUAUCCACCUAUAAUUGUAUGAGAUAAUUGAAUUGCUUGAUGCAAGAAGGGUAUAAGUCCAUAGUUGUUUAGUUGCACUCUCAUAUUAAAAAAAUAGCUAUAAUCUGAAAUGAAUUUUCUUCUAAAUUUUAUAAAUAAAAUAUGCAAUUAUGGCAAAAAAUUCUCCAAUUAUUACUACAGUACUUUGUAGUCAAACAUAUUUAAAAUUUGAGAUACAUACAGAAAUAAUUAGAAUAGAAUAAUUUUGGUAAUUGAAAAAAAAUGGUCUAAUGCCCCUUUUGCAUGGAGAAAUUCAACUAGCAUCUUUCAGCAAUUGUAACUAGAUUCAAUUAUUGAUGUGAGAUGAAAAAAAAGAAAAAAAUAUAAAAAAGUA